rnacentral:rRNA from 1 species
GACGAACGCUGGCGGUGUGCUUAACAUAUGCAAGUCGAACGGAAAGGCCCUGCUUUUGUGGGGUGCUCGAGUGGCGAACGGGUGAGUAACACGUGAGUAACCUGCCCUUGACUUUGGGAUAACUUCAGGAAACUGGGGCUAAUACCGGAUAGGAGCUCCUGCUGCAUGGUGGGGGUUGGAAAGUUUCGGCGGUUGGGGAUGGACUCGCGGCUUAUCAGCUUGUUGGUGGGGUAGUGGCUUACCAAGGCUUUGGUGGGUAGCCGGCCUGAGAGGGUGACCGGCCACAUUGGGACUGAGAUACGGCCCAGACUCCUACAGGAGGCAGCAGUGGGGAAUAUUGCACAAUGGGCGGGAGCCUGAUGCAGCAACGCCGCGUGCGGGAUGACGGCCUUCGGGUUGUAAACCGCUUUCGCCUGUGACGAAGCGUGAGUGACGGUAAUGGGUAAAGAAGCACCGGCUAACUACGUG